UACGAAGGGGGCUAGCGUUGCUCGGAAUUACUGGGCGUAAAGGGCGCGUAGGCGGACAGUUUAGUCAGAGGUGAAAGCCCAGGGCUCAACCUUGGAAUUGCCUUUGAUACUGACUGUCUUGAGUACGGGAGAGGUGUGUGGAACUCCGAGUGUAGAGGUGAAAUUCGUAGAUAUUCGGAAGAACACCAGUGGCGAAGGCGACACACUGGCCCGUUACUGACGCUGAGGCGCGAAAGCGUGGGGAGCAAACAGG
rnacentral:rRNA from 2 species